CGGCUCACCAGGGCGACGAUGCGUAGCCGGCCUGAGAGGGUGGACGGCCACACUGGGACUGAGACACGGCCCAGACUCCUACGGGAGGCAGCAGUAGGGAAUUUUCGGCAAUGGGCGAAAGCCUGACCGAGCAACGCCGCGUGAAGGAAGAAGUCAUUCGUGAUGUAAACUUCUGUUAUGAAGGAAGAACGGCAGAUGGAGGGAAUGCCAUGUGCGUGACGGUACUUCAUGAGGAAGCCACGGCUAACUAC
rnacentral:rRNA from 1 species